UGUGGCUCUUAUUGAAGCUGCAGUUGCUUCCACAUAGCUGCUGUAGUCAAAAAGGAACCCAGAGUGAAUUUCUCCUUGACGGUUGCCGUUCGGUUUGCUGUAACCGAGCUGCAACAUUUCAGGAAAAGACAUUU
ensembl:snoRNA SNORA16A small nucleolar RNA, H/ACA box 16A